UAUUGCAGUGCCGCCCUUGCGACGACAAGCUUUACCUCUCGCUUCGCUGCUCUCCCCCAGGUGGCCUGGAUGUUAACGAAUUGAACUCUCUAGUCACACGUGGUCACACAUGGACAAUCUUUCUCCACAAGUGAACAGGGACAUGGGACUGACCCCUUCAGUUUACACAGUCGCUAACUGCACAUAGCUAUCCACCUUCCCCAUCAUCUAAUGGGAAUUUAGCAAGAACUAAGUUGAGUGGGUGACAAACAUGUGCCCUAACCCCCAGACCAGUGGUGCUCCCUGGCACUGCUGCCAGAACACACCCUUCUGAGGGACGACACCCAUAUCCCAAUGUGCUCGUCAUCAUUGGUGAGUCUCCAUCACACUGCCCUCUUCUCUGGGGAACACACCCCUUUGCUUCAAAGAUUUCAUGUGACCCUCAGCCAUCGACCGUACAGCUAGGGCGGUCCUAUAACCAUGGGCAUGCUGCCCUCCACAUUUGCUAUGUGGUUACUUAAAACAAAAGCCAAAAAAUAAAAAUGUACUCAUUUUUUGAAGUUGCAGGCCAAGGUGCUCAUUUCUCCUUACAGACUCCUAAGAACACAGUAUUGGCCAGUAAUAUGGCAACACACAACUUCUCACUGCUUGUUGGUACUGUUCUUAACAUGGCAUAUUUUAUGCCCACAAUUAUUAUUAGAGCUUAUUUUAUUUCGGUACUAGAAUACACAACAUUCCACUUUCAAUAAAUAUCCGCCUUUGACCGCAAGACCCUCCAGAGAAUAGUGAGAACAGCUGAGAAGAUCAUUGGGGUCUCUCUUCCCUCCAUC